rnacentral:rRNA from 1 species
UGCAGUCGACGAGACAAGGUGCUUGCACCUUUAGAAAGUGGCGAACGGGUGAGUAACGCGUGGGUAACCUGCCCUAUGGAAAGGAAUAGCCUCGGGAAACUGGGAGUAAUGCCUUAUAGUAUAUAGAGGUCGCAUGAUUUUUAUAUGAAACGCUCCGGCGCCAUAGGAUGGACCCGCGUCCCAUUAGCUGGUUGGUGAGAUAACAGCCCACCAAGGCGACGAUGGGUAACCGGUCUGAGAGGGCGAACGGUCACACUGGAACUGAGACACGGUCCAGACUCCUACGGGAGGCAGCAGUGGGGAAUAUUGCGCAAUGGGGGAAACCCUGACGCAGCAAUACCGCGUGAGUGAAGAAGGUUUUCGGAUCGUAAAGCUCUGUUAUUGGGGAAGAAAAAAAGACGGUACCCAAGAAGAAAGUCCCGGCUAACUACGUGCCAGCAGCCGCGGUAAUACGUAGGGGACAAGCGUUGUCCGGAUUUACUGGGCGUAAAGGGCACGCAGGCGGUUUUUUAAGUCAGAUGUGAAAGGUACCGGCUCAACCGGUGACAUGCAUUUGAAACUGAAAGACUUGAGUAUUGGAGAGGCAAGUGGAAUUCCUGGUGUAGCGGUGAAAUGCGUAGAUAUCAGGAGGAACACCGGUGGCGA